rfam:Enterococcus hirae ATCC 9790, complete genome.
ACCGAUAUGAUAUAUUAAGAGUGUAGUUUUUGUUCGGUAAUCUGUGGCAUGUUUCAAAUAAACAUCUUCCAGAUAUACACCAUUCAAGUAAUUGCAAAAUAUGUGUUGAAACACAAGGAGGAUUUUUAUUAUGGAAACAGGUACAGUAAAAUGGUUUAACUCAGAAAAAGGUUUUGGAUUCAUUACAGCAGAAAACGGUAACGAUGUAUUCGUUCAUUUCUCAGCUAUCCAAGGCGACGGAUUCAAAACUCUUGAAGAAGGUCAAACAGUAAACUUUGACGUUGAAGAAGGUCAACGUGGCCCUCAAGCAACUAACGUUGUUAAAGCUUAAUUAAUUGAUUUGAAUAAAAGCUCGAUAACUACAUUGUAGUUGUCGAGCUUUUU